UAAACCAUGCACCGAAGCUGCGGCAGCGACACUAUGUGUUGUUGGGUAGGGGAGCGUUCUGUAAGCCUGCGAAGGUGUGCUGUGAGGCAUGCUGGAGGUAUCAGAAGUGCGAAUGCUGACAUAAGUAACGAUAAAGCGGGUGAAAAGCCCGCUCGCCGGAAGACCAAGGGUUCCUGUCCAACGUUAAUCGGGGCAGGGUGAGUCGACCCCUAAGGCGAGGCCGAAAGGCGUAGUCGAUGGGAAACAGGUUAAUAUUCCUGUACUUGGUGUUACUGCGAAGGGGGGACGGAGAAGGCUAUGUUAGCCGGGCGACGGUUGUCCCGGUUUAAGCAUGUAGGCUGAUUGUCCAGGCAAAUCCGGAUAAUCAAGGCUGAGGUGUGAUGACGAGGCACUACGGUGCUGAAGUAACAAAUGCCCUGCUUCCAGGAAAAGCCUCUAAGCAUCAGGUAACAUCAAAUCGUACCCCAAACCGACACAGGUGGUCAGGUAGAGAAUACCAAGGCGCUUGAGAGAACUCGGGUGAAGGAACUAGGCAAAAUGGUGCCGUAACUUCGGGAGAAGGCACGCUGGUGUGUAGGUGAAGCCCCUGCGGGUGGAGCUGAGACCAGUCGAAGAUACCAGCUGGCUGCAACUGUUUAUUAAAAACACAGCACUGUGCAAACACGAAAGU
rnacentral:rRNA from 1 species